rnacentral:rRNA from 1 species
CUCUUCCAUGCAGUCGACGGCGCACGGGAGCAUCCUGGUGGCGAGUGGCGAACGGGUGAGUAAUACAUCGGAACGUGUCCUGUAGUGGGGGAUAGCCCGGCGAAAGCCGGAUUAAUACCGCAUACGAUCUGUGGAUGAAAGCGGGGGAUCCUUCGGGACCUCGCGCUACAGGGGCGGCCGAUGGCAGAUUAGCUAGUUGGUGGGGUAAAGGCCUACCAAGGCGACGAUCUGUAGCUGGUCUGAGAGGACGACCAGCCACACUGGGACUGAGACACGGCCCAGACUCCUACGGGAGGCAGCAGUGGGGAAUUUUGGACAAUGGGCGCAAGCCUGAUCCAGCAAUGCCGCGUGUGUGAAGAAGGCCUUCGGGUUGUAAAGCACUUUUGUCCGGAAAGAAAACCUCGUGGUUAAUACCCGUGGGGGAUGACGGUACCGGAAGAAUAAGCACCGGCUAACUACGUGCCAGCAGCCGCGGUAAUACGUAGGGUGCAAGCGUUAAUCGGAAUUACUGGGCGUAAAGCGUGCGCAGGCGGUUCGCUAAGACAGAUGUGAAAUCCCCGGGCUUAACCUGGGAACUGCAUUUGUGACUGGCGGGCUAGAGUAUGGCAGAAGGGGGUAGAAUUCCACGUGUAGCAGUGAAAUGCGUAAAGAUGUGGAGGAAUACCGAUGGCGAAGGCAGCCCCCUGGGCCAAUACUGACCCUCAUGCACAAAACCUUGGGGACCAAACAGGAUUAAAUACCCUGGUAGUCCCCCCCCUAAACAAUGUCAACUAGUUUUCGGGUCUUCAUUGACUUGGUAACGUAACUAACCCGUGAAGUUAACCCCUGGGGAAAUACGGUCCCAAAAAUU